CACAAGCGGUGGAGCAUGUGGUUUAAUUCGAAGCUACGCGAAGAACCUUACCAGGUCUUGACAUCUUCUGACAGUCUAAGAGAUUAGAGGUUCCCUUCGGGGACAGAAUGACAGGUGGUGCAUGGUUGUCGUCAGCUCGUGUCGUGAGAUGUUGGGUUAAGUCCCGCAACGAGCGCAACCCUUAUUACUAGUUGCCAGCAUUAAGUUGGGCACUCUAGUGAGACUGCCGGUGACAAACCGGAGGAAGGUGGGGACGACGUCAAAUCAUCAUGCCCCUUAUGACCUGGGCUACACACGUGCUACAAUGGAUGGUACAACGAGUCGCGAGACCGCGAGGUUAAGCUAAUCUCUUAAAACCAUUCUCAGUUCGGACUGUAGGCUGCAACUCGCCUACACGAAGUCGGAAUCGCUAGUAAUCGCGGAUCAGCAUGCCGCGGUGAAUACGUUCCCGGGCCUUGUACACACCGCC
rnacentral:rRNA from 1 species